rnacentral:rRNA from 1 species
CGAGGCCUACGGGACGCAGCAGUGGGGAAUAUUGCGCAAUGGGCGAAAGCCUGACGCAGCGACGCCGCGUGAGGGAUGAAGGUCUUCGGAUCGUAAACCUCUGUCAGCAGGGAAGAACGGUCACUGUGCUAAUCAGCAGUGAAUUGACGGUACCUGCAAAGGAAGCACCGGCUAACUCCGUGCCAGCAGCCGCGGUAAUACGGAGGGUGCGAGCGUUAAUUGGAAUUACUGGGCGUAAAGCUCUCGUAGGCGGUAUGUCAAGUCAAGGGUGAAAUACCCCCGCUCAAC